rnacentral:lncRNA from 1 species
UCUCAUUCCGAUUCGGACAGAGUAGAGGAUGGCUCCAAUGGCGCGCGAAGGUACAAUUAUACCUUUAACUCUUUUCUUUUCUUUUAUAUCUAAAUGUAUACAAAAAAGAAAAAAAAUUAAAGAACAGAAAAACGCAAAGAAAAAGAAUCACCUUAAAAUCGAUCUUUUUAUUUCUCUUUUUUUUUUAUCUCCCCCCUUUUACAGAUUUCGUUAUAGCUUUAUAUAGCCAAAAGAAAAAUACAAAAAACGCCCAUCUUUCUGUUUUUUCUUCGCUAUUACAAUUUUUUUGCCCCCUUUUGUUGUGCUAUUUCUGCUUGUCUUUUGCUUGUUUAUUGCGCUCUUUGCGUGUUGAUUUUCUACAGGUGUACGGAGGCCGUACGAUGACGUGGAGGGCGGCGUACGUACGGAGGUGCGCGUGGGAGGAGGCCACGCAUGGGAGCUUGCGGCGCCAGGGGAUUUAGGGUUUGCUGCUGAUUUUUUGUGUUGAAAUUGUUUUGGGCUAUCGGGCUAGGGUGAGGUGUUUUUGGACUGACGUUUAGUGGGCUUGUAAUACUGGACUGUUAUAAUUUUAUAUUUGGGUUUUUAUUA